UUUAUUGGAGAGUUUGAUCCUGGCUCAGGACGAACGCUGGCGGCGUGCCUAAUACAUGCAAGUCGAGCGGACUUGAUGGAGAGCUUGCUCUCCAGAGAGUUAGCGGCGGACGGGUGAGUAACACGUAGGUAACCUGCCUGUAAGACUGGGAUAACUAGCGGAAACGUUAGCUAAUACCGGAUAAUUUAUUUUC
rnacentral:rRNA from 1 species